CUUGAACGCUGGCGGUAUGCUUAACACAUGCCAGUCGAACGAGUGGCGGACGGGUGAGUAAUGCAUAGGAAUCUACCUUUUAGUCUAGGAUAACUACCCGAAAGGGUGGCUAAUACUGGAUGCUAAGAGAUGAGCAUAUUUGGGAUUAGCUAGUUGGUGGGGUACUUGCUCACAAAGGCGACGAUAUCUAGCUGGUUUGAGAGGAUGAGCAGCCACCAUGGGGCUGAGACACGGCCCAGACUCCGACGUGAGGCAGCAGUGGGGAAUAUUGGACAAUGGGCGAAAGCCUGAUCCAGCAAUACCGCGUGUUUGAAGAAGGCCCUAGGGUUGUAAAGCACUUUUGUUAGGGAGAUGUUACCUAAAGAAUAAGCACCGGCUAACUCCGUGCCAGCAGCCGCGGUAAUUC
rnacentral:rRNA from 1 species